UCUGGUGGUGGUGCCGAGCGAAAAAAAGUUACACUCCCGUGUGGGGGUUGAAAACUACGACCGCGCGCGCGUGUUAGUCCGUCUGUGUGUAUGUGUGUGUUUGUGUUCAUUCCCUCGCCCUGGUUCACAGCGGCACACAACGGCUAACGGUGAUUGCAGCAGUGGUUGUUCGGUCGCGGCUCAGCUGUCAAGGGAGAAGGUUGCAUAAUUGCACCCGCGAUUCAACAGCGAACGGCGCGAGAGUGUGGCGCCGGAAGAAAUUCCGUCAGUCGGAAAACCGUGGCAAUCGGGGCGCACUGCGGGGCAUUCUGACGGGGCCCAGGACACUUCUGGAUCGAUCGCCGACGAGUGGUGUCAAUCGGCAAUAGCUCGUGCAGCUUACGGCCAGUGGAUGAACGAAACGAACGGAGAAACCGACGUCCGCUGCCUGCCAUCACGGGUUCUCUGCCUCUUCCGCGUCCCACUACUCUGUGGUAUGAUUCCGUCAAAAACGGAUCUCGUCGAUAUCCGGCUGAAAGUGUGAAUGUUCCAACACGUAAAUGUGCUUCGAGAGCAGCGAACAAGGAUAAGACACCGAAAACGGAUUAGAUAUUACCAAACCACGGUUCCCCAAGUUAUGCGUUAUGCUUAAGACAAGACAAGUGAGAGUGCAGCGCGUUAUCCGGAAGGGUGCAACUGAUCUAACACUGUUUUUGCAAGCAAACUGCACCCAUUGCCUCGAAGCCAAGUUCUAGUGUGCUCGUUGGAUCAACGAGGAGAAGUGUUAAACUACGGAGCUUGCUAAGAUCCCCAAGCUUAAACAAUCCUGAGCCUGGUGGACCGAACGAACGAACUUGUUGCCUGUUGCCGUGUGAACGGGUGUGCACCUUUGCCAGUAGCCUUUUCUUGACUGUGACAAUACCACUUUGCGCAUUGUGCGCAUUUGUGAACGUACAUUGGGAAACUAUUAACAAACGCGUUAGUGCAACGAACAUAAGAACAAAGUAAUAGCUAGAGAGUGAAAGCGAGAAAGAGAGAAAGAAAGAAAGAAAGAAAGAAAGAAAGAAAGAAAGAAAGAAAGAAAGAAAUAGAGAGAUAGAGAGAGUCACAGAAGACAACAAGACAGUCAAAAGGUAGAUAACCACCUUCGAUAGUGCAAAAGUAGAAACCCGGUUCUAGUGGACGAUCACCAAAAAGUCUCACAAAGCUAGAAUUAAGGAGCAUUUCCUUGGACUCCCCAUACUCAUAAACGGCAUCCUCAGCAGCAAAAGUAUAUCUUACAAAGGGGCAGCAAUAGCAACGACGAAUCGAAAACGCGGGUCGGCCACCCUCUUGCUCAACGCAUUGAGAGCGCAUUUUUACGAUUGCCAUACCAAAACGAAAAUAUUGUCAAAUCACAAAGUAGAGAAUAUAGCACGGAAAAAGAGCCAGCUAGCAGCAAGUUGGCAAAUUGGCAAAUUGGGCCCUCCAGCGCACGGGCAGAGCAACGGGCACGCGGGCAACUCUUUCCGCUAGUCCUGUGUAUCGUCAUCCGCCGCGCCGAGGAACGCCGAGAAGACGAAGAGAGCUAUUUACUGGUAGCGCCGAACAAAACAACCAAAAACUCCAAUAGAUUAACGAUUCCUAGCAGUAUUGCCAAGAUUCUUGUCUCUGUGGACGCGCUGGUGAAACGCUUACCAAUUGAUCUUAUUCUUAGUACUAAGAACACUAAUACCACGCGACUGUUACUACCGCUACCAUUACCACCUCCAUCAAGCUGGGCACCGGAGAGCCGUACUAGAGAAUCGGGCAGCAACAGCAAACCGGCAUCCUUACUCGGCACUACUUCACCAACAACAACAACAACAACAACAAGUCUGAAUACGCUUUUAUGAAUUUACUUAAACCUCGAUGCUCGCUGGUUCGAAGAGAGUGCUGCUGGAGUUAAGAGUGCAACUACUGCUGCUGCUGUAAGGAGCGAUUUGUCUGUCUGUGACCCCGGAUGCGCCAAGCAGAAAUCUUACCUUACCCCGGACCGUACGUUGAGUCUGAAACACAGCUCUAGCUGCUGCUGUUACAGGUCGUCACCAGCGAUAUCCUUCCCACGCACUGCUCCGGCCCGCUUUUAACCCGUGUGCGCAACGUCAGAGAGACGUCGACGUCGGGCAGCAAACGGGGAGAGCAGCAGUAUCAUCACUAUUAUGUGCCAGUGUUCCACCUCGAACACACAACCGAAACACCCAACCGAGCAACAGCAGCCGCUAUCUACCGAUUCCACCGCCAGAGCCGGCCUUUCUCCAGUAGUCGCGUUCGGCGGACGGUGGCGGACAUUCAC